AUUUCCUCCUAUUUGAGAAACAAAAUUUCAAUACCAUGAUUGCUGUUUUCUUUCAACUAUUUAGGUCCCCAAGUAAAAUUUCAAAUACAGUAUUGCUAUUAAUUAGAUCUUUUUUCUUCAUGUUCCCCAUAUUAAUUUCCCUGUUAUGCUCACUUUCUUGGUACUAGUCCUUAUAUCAGUGAGUCUUGGAAUUUAGCACACGGGUCCAGAAGUUCCAUUGGACGAUGAAGUUAUAUAUGUAGACACUGUUCUGGAAAAAAAUUGGCAUUGAAGGUGAAGAUUAGUUUUUGGAUCUUGGUGGGAAAUCUGAUGCCUGUUGGCUAUAUACGAUGCUAGCUAUGGUUGGAUAACAAUUUGAUCAUGGAGAUGAAAUUUGUGGAGUAGUUGUCAAUGUCAGAGCUAGGCAGGAAAAAAUAUCUCUAUGGCUAAAGAAUGCUACAAAUAUAAAGCCUAGGCAACUAGCAUGUUUUGUUCACAUGUAAAUAUAAUAUUUCAACACUAGAGGAAUUACAUGUUUUGUUCACAUGUUUUGUAUAAUCACAUUAUUAAGCAAAUGUAAUCACAUUAUUAAAUUUAAUCCAUUUUGUAUAUAACACUAGAGGAAUUAUUAUACUUAAUAUUUAUACUGCAAUAUAAGCAUAUAUAUAAA